UACGAGGGGGGCAAGCGUUGUUCGGAAUUAUUGGGCGUAAAGGGCGCGUAGGCGGUCAGCACAAGUCAGUUGUGAAAUCUCCGGGCUUAACUCGGAAAGGUCAACUGAUACUGUGCGACUAGAGUGCGGAAGGGGCAACUGGAAUUCUCGGUGUAGCGGUGAAAUGCGUAGAUAUCGAGAGGAACACCUGCGGCGAAGGCGGGUUGCUGGGCCGACACUGACACUGAGAGACGAAAGCUAGGGGAGCGAAUGGG
rnacentral:rRNA from 1 species